rnacentral:tRNA from 1 species
GGCUUCGUGGUUUAGUGGUAUAAUUCUCGCUUAGGGUCACACCCCGAGCUCCAUCUGCGAGAGGUCCCGGGUUCGAUCCCCGGCGAAGCCC